rnacentral:snoRNA from 1 species
ACCUUAUAGAUUCCUUAUCCAUCAGACCUAAACUCUGGUUGAAGUGGUUAUAAAAGGGGGGAAAGUAACAUGGAAACUUACCUAAAUUCUUUUGUGACACACAAGCUAGUUUCAAAGAAAA